rnacentral:rRNA from 1 species
AACGUAGGUGGCGAGCGUUAUCCGGAUUUACUGGGCGUAAAGGGUGUGCAGGCGGUCUGUUAAGUGGGGUAUGAAAUAUCCCGGCUCAACCGGGAGAGGUUAUGCCAGACUGGCAGUCUAGAGAGCGAGAGAGGGACGUGGAAUUCCUGGUGUAGCGGUGAAAUGCGCAGAUAUCAGGAAGAACACCCGUGGCGAAGGCGGCUCUCUGGGACGGUACUGACGCUGAGACGCGAAAGCGUGGGGAGCGAACAGG